AGCCUGGAGGACUAGCGGUUAUGCCACAGCGCUCUCACUGGGUUCUCUGCGGGCCGGGUUCGAUUCCCGGCCAGGGAA